rnacentral:rRNA from 1 species
UACGUAGGGUGCAAGCGUUAAUCGGAAUUACUGGGCGUAAAGCGUGCGCAGGCGGUUGUGCAAGACCGAUGUGAAAUCCCCGGGCUUAACCUGGGAAUGGCAUUGGUGACUGCACGGCUAGAGUGUGUCAGAGGGGGGUAGAAUUCCACGUGUAGCAGUGAAAUGCGUAGAUAUGUGGAGGAACACCGAUGGCGAAGGCAGCCCCCUGGGUUAACACUGACGCUCAUGCACGAAAGCGUGGGGAGCAAACAGG